rnacentral:lncRNA from 1 species
GUCACAAAGGCAUAGUGACAAAAGCUUGAGAGGCAGAAUAGCUCCCUUAGCUUAUGGAUUGGAGUCUGCUCCUGAGGAAGAAGGUGUGGAUCUUGGAGCAGGAAUAUGAUUCUGGGAAAACCGGUCUAUAAGAAGAAGGAUAUUUGGAUCUGUCUACAGAGAAAGAAAGAGAUGCAUGCAAGCCUGAGGAUUCUGUGUCUCUAAGAAGCUUUCAGCUGAGACUCCAAGAUCUGGUCCUCCUGAUAGCAAAAGCAUGUACAAUGACAGGGAGCCAGACUUAAUUCCACUUUUUAAGAAAGGCAAGCAGGGUGUGAGGAGAGAUGCUAGAGGAACAGAGAAAGCCAGUAAUGUGGAUAAGGCAUUCCAGCAAUUGCUAAAAGGAGAAGCUUAGAAUAACUAAGGUUUUGAAGAAAGAAGCAUCCUACGUUGUCAACACAGAGGAGUCAAGCUUGCCAGUUAAACCUCUAAAGAAAUGGAAGAACCACUCUGGAUAUUUAAUGAUCUUAAAAUCUGUGAGUCAUUUU